rnacentral:rRNA from 1 species
AGUAUUGGACAUUGGGCUAAAGCCUGAUCCAACCAUGCCGCGUGUGUUAAGAAUGUCAUCGCUUUGCAAAGUACUUUAAGUUGGGAGGAAGGGCAGUAAGUUAAUAUCUUGCUUUUUUGACGUUACCGACAGAAUAAUCCCCGGCUAACUUCGUGCCAUCAGCAGCGGUAAUACGAAGGGUGCAAGCGUAAAGCGGAAUUACUUGGCGUAAAGCGAGCGUAGGUGGUUUGUUAAGUUAGAAGUGAAAGACCCGGGCUCAAACUGGGAACAGCUUACAAAACUGGCAAGCUAGAGUAUGGCAGAGGGUGGUGGAAUUUCCUGUGUAGCGGUGAAAUGCGUAGAUAUAGGAAGGAACACCAGUGGCGAAGGCGACCACCUGGGCUAAUACUGACACUGAGGUGCGAAAGCGUGGGGAGCAAACA